AGUUCAAUUAAGACAAAGAUGGCUUCUCUUGAUGAAUUCUUAUUCUUAGUUUUGUGCAAUAUUUAUUUUAUAUCAUUAAAAUAUUUUUUGUGCAUAAAUCUUGGAUCCAUGCAUUUUAUUAAGUUGAGGUAAUGUCAUUGUAUUAUAUUAUACAAGCAUAUAUGAUUUAUGUGCAUAUAAAUAUGUUUUAUGUAAUCUGUAAUUCAUUAUCAAUUCGAUUCACUUGCCGAUGAUUUAUAAAAGAAAAUUUGACCGAAAAACAUUCGAAAAGUACAACAAGGUUUUAAAAAAUCAAGAAUCCGAGCGAUUCGAUGAAUCGUUUGGUACUGAGACUCGAAAGGGACAUUGGAAUGGAUCUCUCUCACUUGAAAUGGCCAUCGAACUUGGAAAAAAUCAUUCGACGACCGUCGACUUUCGUCUCUCUUGUUUAAUGUCAAGUACACGCGAAUCUCGGCGGGUGUAUCUCUCGAGGGACUCGUUGUGUCCUCGAAAGUAUUAUUCCCAAUUGUCCUUCAAUGCAGCUUCACUGACGAUGAUGAGAUGCUUAUAAAUUGAUUUUUUUUAUUUGUUGUUUCUGAAGGUCCUGUUUUUUUCUUCGUUUUAUUAUUCGUAUUCAAUUGAAUAAUUUAAGUAAUUGAUAUAUUUAAUAAUUGAGUAAUUGAUACUUUAAUGAUAAUUGAUUAAUUCGAUAUAUUUGAAGAAGAGACUAAUGUGAAUCGAAGAAGAAAGAAUAUAUAAAAUAACUCUUUUGUAAUUUUUAUAUAUAGAUUUCAUUUAAUAGAUAAAUGUGGAAUUUUGAGAAUUACAAAUUUUUAUUCCAAUAAUGAAAUAUGAAUUUAAAAAUUUGGAAAAUUAAAAUAUGAAAAUUUUAUAUUUGAUACUUGAAAAAGAAGAACAUAGCAAAAAAUAACUAUCAAACAACUUUAUAUAAACAUAUAAAAACAAUUUCUGGAAUUCCAUCAUUCCAGAAUUAAAAAAAAAAAUCAAAACGAUUUAUGAAAGAUCGUUAAAUUAUACUUCCAAGUAGGUAAGAUUACGUCCGUAUCGACUUAAAAUAAGCCAGAGCAAUUAGUUACGCUAGUUAGAAAUAUGAAGAUAAUUAAAAACACGAAUAUUCUCGUUUAAUUUGUAUAACGUCACGCAUGUUUGUAUAUCAUGUGUGAUGCAGGUAGGUAUCAUCAGGAAAUGAAUGAUAAAACGAAACAAAGAAGUAUUUAAGUACCUUAAAAGACAUAGAUCGAAUGUGAAUGUAAAAUCUGCUUUCAUCUGAAAUCGAAUAAUGAAUGUUUAAGUUAGUAUAAUGAUCUAUAGUUAGUAUAAAAUUUGCGUUCGAUGUUUUGUAAGAAGUUUUUAUACAUUUUCUUACGUAGAUUGUCUGCAUUAAUUGAAAUGAAUGGGAUAAAGUUGUACCAGUCUAUAGGUUUCUCCGAUGAUUAUAGUUAAAUAGAGAAAAAAAAGAGGAAAAAAAUUAUUAUUAGAAAAUUAAGAUAUGUAUAAUUGAAUGUAUAAUUUAAAAUAUGUAUGAAAAUAUUUGAAAGAGAUCCAAAGAUUAAAUAAUUUUAAUAUUGAUGAUUGAUGAUUAAUGUAAAUCUAAAUGCAUAAAUUAAAAUUAUUUAAAUUAAAUUAUGAUACUACACUAAUAAACAAAUUGAAAUUAA